rnacentral:rRNA from 1 species
CUGAAGACCUUACCCGACUUAGCUGAGAGGUGGUGCAUGGCCGUCGUCAGUUCGUACUGUGAAGCAUCCUGUUAAGUCAGGCAACGAGCGAGACCCACGUCCACAGUUGCCAGCAUACCCUCCGGGGUGAUGGGUACACUGUGGAGACCGCCGCUGCUAAAGCGGAGGAAGGAGUGGGCAACGGUAGGUCAGUAUGCCCCGAAUCUCCCGGGCUACACGCGGGCUACAAUGGUUGGUACAAUGGGCAUCUACCCCGAAAGGGGAAGGAAAUCUCUUAAAGCCAAUCGUAGUUCGGAUUGAGGGCUGCAACUCGCCCUCAUGAAGCUGGAAUCCGUAGUAAUCGCGUUUCAACAGAACGCGGUGAAUACGUCCCUGCUCCUU